ensembl:lncRNA
GGGGGGGGGGGGGGGGGGCAGGGGGACCUUGUGCAAGGCUCCCCUCUCUGUGGGCAACCUAAUUAAGCCUAAUUAGCCUGCUAAUUAGUGGGAGGGUACUGGGAGGGAGGGCGAUGGGACGUGGAGACAUUGGGGUCCCCCGUGGGUGGCAUCGGUGCCUAUAGGGGACAUCCGACCCCAUAGGCGACAUCGGGGGUCCCUAUAGGUCCCCCAUGACUCCUCCCCAUUUUGGGGCACUGGGAGGCACUGGGAGGCACUGGGGGGCACUGGGAGGUAUUGGGGGGCACUGGGAGGCACUGGGAGGUACUGGGGGGCACUGGGAGGCACUGGGUUGUACUGGGAGGUACUGGGAGGCACUGGGAGGUAUUGGGAGGCACUGGGAGGUACUGGGGGGCACUGGGAGGCACUGGGGGGCACUGGGAGGCACUGGGGGGCACUGGGAGGUACUGGGAGGUACUGGGGGGUACUGGGAGGUACUGGGAGGCACUGGUGGAUGCUGGGGAGCACUGCGAGGCACUGGGAGGCACUGGGGGGCAGUGGGGGGCACUGGGGGGUACUGGGGGGCACUGGGAGGUACUGGGAGGGACUGGGGGCACUGGGGGGUACUGGGUUGUACUGGGAGGGACUGAGAGGCACUGGGAAGAACUGGGGGGUACUGUGAGGCUCUGAGAGGUACUGGGGGGCACUGGAAGGCACUGGGGGGCACUGGGAGGUAUUGGGAGGAACUGGGAGUUACUGGGAGGCACUGGGGGGCACUGGGAGGCUCUGGGAGGCACUGGGAGGUACUGGGAGGUACUGGGGGGCACUGGGAGGCACUGGGGAGCACUGAGAGGUACUGGGAGGUACUAGGGGGCACUGGGAGGCACUGAGAGGCACUGGGAGGUACUGGGAGGUACUGGGGGGCACUGGGAGGUAUUGGGGGGCACUGGGAGUUACUGGUGGGCACUGGGGGGUACUGGGGGGCACUGGAAGGCACUGUGAGGCACUGGGAGGACUGGGAGCACUGGGAGCACUGGGAUCGUAGCAGGACUGGGAGCACUGGGUUAUACUGGG